rfam:Gossypium hirsutum cultivar TM-1 unplaced genomic scaffold scaffold4672.1, whole genome shotgun sequence
GGGUGUGACAAUACCAGCACUAAUGCAUAGGAUCCCAUCAGGAUUCUGUAGUUUAGCGUGCUUGCGGGAUAGUAGUACUAUGAUGGGUGACCUUCUGGGAAGUCCUCGUUUUGCACCUU